AAUGGGCGAGAUGAGUUGUUGAAGGUAAGACAUUUUCUCCAUGAUUCUUGAGGUAUCAGAAACUUGACCAUUACAUGUUCUGUGCAGUUCACUAUGUUUGAUUAGUGACCUCUAGAAACCUUACAAGCACAUUUUUCAUUUCCCCACAGUUAUCAGCAUAGCUUUUUGAGGACUGAUCUUGUUGUUCAUUUUCAAUGUAGAUAAUGGAUU
rnacentral:misc_RNA from 1 species